rnacentral:rRNA from 2 species
GGGUUGUGAGGUUAAGCGACUAAGCGUACACGGUGGAUGCCCUGGCAGUCAGAGGCGAUGAAGGACGUGCUAAUCUGCGAUAAGCGUCGGUAAGGUGAUAUGAACCGUUAUAACCGGCGAUUUCCGAAUGG